GGGCCCGCACAAGCGGUGGAGCAUGUGGUUUAAUUCGAUGAUACGCGAGGAACCUUACCAGGGCUUAAAUGGGAAAUGACAGGGGCAGAGACGCCCCCUUCUUCGGACAUUUUUCAAGGUGCUGCAUGGUUGUCGUCAGCUCGUGCCGUGAGGUGUCAGGUUAAGUCCUAUAACGAGCGCAACCCCUACCGUUAGUUGCCAGCGUGUAAUGACGGGGACUCUAACGGAACUGCCGGUGCAAACCGUGAGGAAGGUGGGGACGACGUCAAAUCAUCACGGCCCUUACGUCCUGGGCCACACACGUGCUACAAUGGUAGGUACAGAGGGAAGCCACCCCGCGAGGGGGUGCUAAUCCUAGAAAGUUCUUCGUAGUCCGGAUUGGAGUCUGCAACUCGACUGCAUGAAGCUGGAAUC
rnacentral:rRNA from 1 species